UUGCUUCAGCAGCCCAUAUGCUAAAAUUAGAAUGAUACAGAGAAGAUUAGCAUGGCCCCUGUGCAAGGAUGACACACAAAUUCACAAAGCAUUCCAUAUUUUU
ensembl:snRNA U6 U6 spliceosomal RNA